rnacentral:lncRNA from 1 species
UGUGUGUGUGUGUGUGUGUGUGUGUGUGUGUGUGUGUGUAUAUAUGUUUUUAUGUCCAUUUUAUUUUAUUUUGCUUUAUUUUUUUUUGUUUUUUUUUGUUUUUUUGUUUUAUCAAGCUUAAAUCAAAAACAACAUUCAUAGAAACCUAUGUGCACCCCUCUUACAAAAAUGAUGACAAAAGAGUUGAGGCCCAAGUAGCAAUGACCAAAUCCGACCCAACCAAAUUCGAAGACAUGGCGGGCGCCAUAAGCUUCAUGGUGGGCG